rnacentral:rRNA from 1 species
AACGAACGCUGGCGGCAUGCCUAACACAUGCAAGUCGAACGAAGCCUUCGGGCUUAGUGGCGCACGGGUGCGUAACGCGUGGGAAUCUGCCCUUAGGUACGGAAUAACUCAGGGAAACUUGUGCUAAUACCGUAUGAUGUCUUCGGACCAAAGAUUUAUCGCCUAGGGAUGAGCCCGCGUCGGAUUAGCUAGUUGGUGGGGUAAAGGCCUACCAAGGCGACGAUCCGUAGCUGGUCUGAGAGGAUGAUCAGCCACACUGGGACUGAGACACGGCCCAGACUCCUACUGGAGGCAGCAGUGGGGAAUAUUGGACAAUGGGCGAAAGCCUGAUCCAGCAAUGCCGCGUGAGUGAAGAAGGCCUUCGGGUUGUAAAGCUCUUUUACCCGGGAAGAUAAUGACUGUACCGGGAGAAUAAGCCCCGGCUAACUCCGUGCCAGCAGCCGCGGUAAAAC